AUAGCUUUGGAUUUGAAGUUCAAUCACAAGUUACACUUGAUUCAUAAAUCCUCGAAACUUAGAUCUGGUACCAUCAAACUUCUUGGGUUGGACAAUUCUUGGUUCUCUAACACUGGAAGGACGUUCCACCAUAGGAGAAAGGACAUGGUUUGAUGUAGAUGUUGAAGCAGCUCCAACCAUUUCUAUAUUUUCACUUCCUGUCAAUCUUGUUGCUCCUUGUGGUGAUAAAUUGAGUUGAUGCAUCGCAAGUAUUAAUUUCCUCAAUUGCUCUUGCAUUUGUGCCAUUGCACUCUUUAUUUCAAUAAGUUCUGCUAUGAUAACACUUAGAAAAGAG
rnacentral:lncRNA from 1 species